rnacentral:lncRNA from 1 species
UCUUUAACAAGAUGUUGUGCUUCUUCUUGACGAUGUUUUGAGAAGGAUUCAAGUCUCUUUGUAGUUAGUAAGUGUUCCAUGCAAAUUCUUCUCAUUCGCUUCCAAUGAGGUCCUAAUGGUGCCAAUGCAACAUCACCACACCCAUAUGCUAAAUGAAUUGCAGCAAGAGUGCGUGGACGAGAGGCAAAAACAUCAUCUUGAGAAAGAAGUAUUUCACGUAUAAUAUCAGGGUCAUUAGUAGUAAUAGCAUCAAUAUUUCCUAAUUUUAAAUAAACUAAGGGUCCAUAUUUAUCGCAUAAUGAUGCUAAGUCUCUAUGAGGAAGUUGCCCUAAUUGGAGAAGGUUACCAACAAUAGGCCACCUUGGUGGGCCAGGAGGAAGGUUAUUUUUCUUAUCCAAAGAUGGAGAUUUUCCUAUAUGCCUAUCUCGAAUGAUUUUUGAGACUAAUAUUGUUAGGAGUAAGGUUAAGGCAAGUAUGGUCAAUACCAUUUUCUAAGAUCAAUCACUUCAUAUGAAGAAAGCAAAUUUGUUUUCUCC